rnacentral:rRNA from 1 species
GACGGGGGCCCGGCACAAGCAGCGGAGCAUGUGGUUUAAUUCGAAGCAACGACGAAGAACCUUACCAAGACUUGACAUCCCCUGACAGCUGUUGAAAGGCAGUGUCUCUUCGGAGCAGGGAGACAGGUGGUGCAUGGUUGUCGUCAGCUCGUGUCGUGAGAUGUUGGGUUAAGUCCCGCAACGAGCGCAACCCUUAUCCUUAGUUACCAGCACGUAAAGGUGGGGACUCUAGGGAGACCGCCGGGGACGACUCGGAGGAAGGUGGGGACGACGUCAAAUCAUCAUGCCCCUUAUGUCUUGGGCUACACACGUGCUACAAUGGCCGCAACAGAGGGAAGCGAGAGCGCAAGCUGGAGCAAAACCCUAAAAAGCGGUCCCAGUUCGGAUUGUGGGCUGCAACCCGCCCACAUGAAGUCGGAGUUGCUAGUAAUCGCGAAUCAGCAUGUCGCGGUGAAUGCGUUCCCGGGCCUU